CUAGUAAUAUCCACAAAUAUAUUGCUGGAAAUUCUGGACUUACUAUUUCAACUGAUUCUCUUAAAUUCUAAGAAAUCUUCAUCUGUUGUUGGGUUCCCUUCUCUACAAUUCAAAUCCUUGAAAUCUUCCACUAGCAAUGAUUUCCAUGGCAAGAAAAUGGCUUUUCUGCCGAAUCAAAUAAAAUCCAAGAGAGAAAAUCUCCAAGCUUUUCGUGUAUAGAUGAGCUUUGGUAUUGCCAAAGUUAUGAAAUGGUGGGAAAAGGGGCUUCAACCCAAUAUGAAAGAGAUCGAAUCUACGCAAGCUCUCGUCGAUUCCUUGUUAAAUGCAGGAUACAAACUUGUUGUUAUAGAUUUCUUCUCUCCAGACUGAUGAAGAGAUCCAAUGCUGAGAAGUUUACAGCUAGGGAAGAUGAUGGAAUUGAAAGGUUUGUUGAGUUGAAUGAUGAUGCAGAUUUCGGAUCGAGGAAAAGCCCUUCUUCCUUUGUGCUUGACAAACAUGGAGUGACUCUUUCAUGCAAAUGUUCUGCAACAGAAGAUGGUGGAAAACUGAGUACAUGACUAAGAAAAGGCAGAGGAUCAUAUCAUGAGCCAAGCCCCAGUUGAUUGGUCAGCUGAAUCAAAGUACCUGUUAGAAGAGGUGUUUAAGAUGUACAUCGAUCUGAUGGGCCACAAUGUUAGAAAUGAUAGUGUAUAAAUGCUUCAUUUAUCUUAUGGGCCACAAUGUUAGAAAUGAAUGAUAGCCCAAAAACUUACCCAUUAGAUGAGUUCUCUAGCAUGGUAUGUGCACCAUGGAACCUUCAGAUGGACAUUUGUGUAAUAUAUCUUCUUCAAAUGACCAAAUGCAUGCAGUCUUCUGUUCUUCUUACCUUUGUGAUUAAAAACUAUAUUUUUGUGAUUUUGGUGUAGUGUGAUUGAAGUUAUUCCUUCACCAGCUAUUAGGUUUAUCCUUGUUAUACACUUGUGUGCUUGUCUGCUCCUUUUGUUUAUCUUAUGUUGUUGUGUGGUUUUUGGAGUGGUCAUGCAGGCAAGCAAACAUGAAAUGCUUGGUUUUCAUGCUUCUUGGUGGAAUUUUUUUUAUUAAAUUUCUAGUCAGUUUGAUUUGUCUAUGAAUCCAAAUACCAGGUUUGCCUUUUUGGGUUGAAGCUUUCCAAUCCAUUGUUGACAUUACCUUCAUUAAUCACUUUGUACUAUGCAAAUUAACCAGAUCCAACAGGAAAAUGAAAAGAAGGAAUCAAAUCUUAGGGUGCACCACAGUGAAGACCAUCUUUCUUGCUUGGAGGCCCUGAUAAUGUUGCAGAAAUGACAAGCAGGCGGGGUAUGCUAGUUAGGGCUACUAGUGGAAAAGGUGAUGUUUAUGGAUGGUAAGAAACUAGUUGUUAUAAUUUCUGAAG